UACGUAGGGUGCAAGCGUUAAUCGGAAUUACUGGGCGUAAAGUGUGCGCAGGCGGUGAUGUAAGACAGGUGUGAAAUCCCCGGGCUUAACCUGGGAACUGCAUUUGUGACUGCAUCGCUGGAGUGCGGCAGAGGGGGAUGGAAUUCCGCGUGUAGCAGUGAAAUGCGUAGAUAUGCGGAGGAACACCGAUGGCGAAGGCAAUCCCCUGGGCCUGCACUGACGCUCAUGCACGAAAGCGUGGGGAGCAAACAGG
rnacentral:rRNA from 1 species